AUUGAACGCUGGCGGCAGGCUUAACACAUGCAAGUCGAGCGGGGGAAGGUAGCUUGCUACCGGACCUAGCGGCGGACGGGUGAGUAAUGCUUAGGAAUCUGCCUAUUAGUGGGGGACAACAUCUCGAAAGGGAUGCUAAUACCGCAUACGUCCUACGGGAGAAAGCAGGGGAUCUUCGGACCUUGCGCUAAUAGAUGAGCCUAAGUCGGAUUAGCUAGUUGGUGGGGUAAAGGCCUACCAAGGCGACGAUCUGUAGCGGGUCUGAGAGGAUGAUCCGCCACACUGGGACUGAGACACGGCCCAGACUCCUACGGGAGGCAGCAGUGGGGAAUAUUGGACAAUGGGGGGAACCCUGAUCCAGCCAUGCCGCGUGUGUGAAGAAGGCCUUAUGGUUGUAAAGCACUUUAAGCGAGGAGGAGGCUACUUUAGUUAAUACCUAGAGAUAGUGGACGUUACUCGCAGAAUAAGCACCGGCUAACUCUGUGCCAGCAGCCGCGGUAAUACAGAGGGUGCGAGCGUUAAUCGGAUUUACUGGGCGUAAAGCGUGCGUAGGCGGCUUAUUAAGUCGGAUGUGAAAUCCCCGAGCUUAACUUGGGAA
rnacentral:rRNA from 1 species